UGCAAGUCGAACGGCAGCACGGGAGCAAUCCUGGUGGCGAGUGGCGAACGGGUGAGUAAUACAUCGGAACGUGCCCAGUAGUGGGGGAUAGCCCGGCGAAAGCCGGAUUAAUACCGCAUACGACCUACGGGUGAAAGCGGGGGAUCGCAAGACCUCGCGCUAUUGGAGCGGCCGAUGGCAGAUUAGCUUGUUGGUGGGGUAAAGGCCUACCAAGGCGACGAUCUGUAGCUGGUCUGAGAGGACGACCAGCCACACUGGGACUGAGACACGGCCCAGACUCCUACGGGAGGCAGCAGUGGGGAAUUUUGGACAAUGGGCGCAAGCCUGAUCCAGCCAUGCCGCGUGCGGGAAGAAGGCCUUCGGGUUGUAAACCGCUUUUGUCAGGGAAGAAAAGCGCCGGGCUAAUACCUCGGCGCAAUAACGGUACCUGAAGAAUAAGCACCGGCUAACUACGUGCCAGCAGCCGCGGUAAUACGUAGGGUGCAAGCGUUAAUCGGAAUUACUGGGCGUAAAGCGUGCGCAGGCGGCUUUGCAAGACAGAUGUGAAAUCCCCGGGCUUAACCUGGGAACUGCAUUUGUGACUGCAUGGCUGGAGUGCGGCAGAGGGGGAUGGAAUUCCGCGUGUAGCAGUGAAAUGCGUAGAUAUGCGGAGGA
rnacentral:rRNA from 1 species